UCCUUGAUGGCUCAGUUGGUAAAGAAUCUGCCUGCAAUGCAGGAGACCUGGGUUUAAUUCCUGGAUAGGGAA
rnacentral:tRNA from 1 species